GCGAGCCAGACACAGACCACAGGCAUGGCUGGAGAAACGGGGCUUCCAGCGUCCUCUCUCCGAUGCUUGCAAGCGCCCCUGCAACGGUGCUUGCUGCCAUGGAAACCUGAUUCUGAGGAUUUGUUCAAGGGAUGCAUGGCAGUGCCAGGAAGCUUCAUGUAUGGCCUCCCUUGAUGCUAAACAGCGACAAAAAUCAAGGAUGAGAAAGGACUGUUUCAAUUGCAUAAUGAAAUGAACUUCAAAAUACACAGAUUAAGGAGAGAGAUUUUAAAAAUGCACUCUCUGCUACAGGUGCCUUCACAUCUACUUCUCCCAACACAGUCAUAUAUUCCUCAAUAUCUCCUACUGCCCCCCACAACCCCUGCUCAGUUUUUCCGUUGCACUUGUAUUGAAAUUUGCAUCAAAUUAUAAAGGUCUGGAUCUGCAA